UAUAGCUUGCUUUCUUAAGUAUCUCAGGACC
rnacentral:piRNA from 1 species